UGAUCUGCAAAGCCCCAGGUGGUUAGCACAAACGAGCCCGAGCCCGGAAGAGCCUGCAGCCCCAGACUUCGUGGGCGGGGCAGGCAGCUGUCAGUAAUUUCACUGCAGCCCCAGGAGACCACUCUGGGUCAACUCUGCACUUUUUUCAAUCAAAUCUCCUUGCCUCAGAGGGAGACCCCCUGAGGACAGAAAGUAGACCUGGGGCUUCUCUGCCAACCUCGAGGGCUCAGCUAAGCAUGGGAAAGGGGCAGCUGAUGUGUGAUGCUUCAGAGUUGAGGAAAACGUCCCCAUCCUGGCCGGGAGAUGCUGUGCAGCCGUAAGGACAGAGUGGACACGAAUGGAACAAGACCCCUAAACUUGCAGCUCUCUUUGCAGCCUGGUGUGGACAGAUCUUCGGGACCCCUCUCCCUGCUCUAACAGGUGAAUCCAGCAAGCAAACUGCACAGGCUUGAAGUCAGUACAAUAAAAAUCUGUGCUGUCCCAUGCAGCAGCCAUGCAGGAUGUCUUCAGCCUGUGUUAGAAUGACGAUGCGACCCCUCAGCUCGUGACUGAAGACGCCGGCUGGACAGAUGCACAACAGGAAAAGAUAAAGGGUAGCUGGCUCUCAUGUUUCCCAGCUGCAUGUCUUAGAGAUUGAGGGAACAAUUAACAAACCUGGUCCUCACCUCCCUCCACACAUCGAGAGCAUCAGCAUCUCUGAACUGGUCUGAGGUAUAAACACGGAAUUCUUGUUUAUGUCACCUUCGAUGUAUCACCCAGAGCAAAGGCCAAGUGUACUCUCCCUUUUUUGACAUAUAUGAAAUCGAGUUGUAAGGUUUUUUUUUUUCUUUUCCCCCUCCCUGCGCAUACACUGUUUGUGAAAGAGAUGGAACAGAAGCUGUGCGUAACCUCACACCCCUGGGAGCAGCUCCA
rnacentral:lncRNA from 1 species